rnacentral:tmRNA from 1 species
CAAUGCGCAAGAAAGAGAUUAUAUUAGUCUUGCUGGUAACAGCUAUGGCGAUAAACGCGAUGCGAAAUAGGCAGAGCGGACCCGGGGGCAGUACCCGGCGCCUCCACCAUAAUUUCUUUAGGCAAUCUUUUAUAAGAAACGUUCUAUCGGAAAAUCUUUAUGGGGGCGAGUCAGGAUCGACGCAUGUAGUAAAGGCAAAGUUUUCGCUCGGCAUGGCACCACCGAUAUCGGGCCAAAAUAGUAGUUGCAAACGACAACUAUGCUCCGGUUGCUGUCGCUGCUUAAUUGCGGUUACAAAAACCACUCUUAAACUCCAACAGGUUGAGCCCUGUUGGCGGGGUCUGGAUUGACCUUGCAACAGAAUAAU